rnacentral:rRNA from 2 species
GUCGACGAUGUUCCUUUUGAUUGAUGCUUGUCCCAUGAGUUACAUCUAAGUGAGUGGCUGACGGCUGAUUCACCCUUGAGUAACCUGCCCAGAAUUGGGGGAUAACAUUUGCAAACUAGUGCUAAUACCGCAUAACAACAAUUUUGAAUGUUUUUUGUUUAAAAUAUGGGUUUGCUAUCUCUUCUGGAUGGACCCGCGUGGUAUUAACUAUCUGGCGAGCUAAUAUCUCACCCCGGGGAUGAUACGUAUUCGACCUGGUGGGGUCCCCGACCCCAUUGGGACUGAGACACGGCCCAAACUCCUACGCUCGCCAGCAUUAGGGAAUCUCUCACACUGGACGAGACUCUGAUGGAGCAAUGCCGCGCGAAUGAAGAAGCUCUUCGGAUCGAAAAAAUCUGUUGUUGAAGAAGAACAUAUGUGAAAGUAACUGUUCACGCACUGACGGCAUUGUCACAGAAAGGCACGGCUAACUACGUGCCAGCAGCCGCCGUAAUACGUACGGAGCAAGUGUUGUCCGGAUUUACUGAGCGGAAAAAGAAAGUCCGCGGUUCAUUAAAUUUGAAAUGAAAUCCCUCGCUUCAACCGAUGAAAUGCUUCCCAAACGGGGGAACUUGAGUGCAUAAAAGGAAAGCGGAGAUCCGCGUGAAUCGAUGGAAUGCGUACAUAUAUGGAAGAGCCUCUGUGGCCAAGGCGUUUUCUGAGCUGUGACUGACGCUGAGAUUCAAACCUUGGGUAGCCUAGCGGAUCAAAA